rnacentral:rRNA from 1 species
CAGCAGCCGCGGUAAUACGAAGGGGGCUAGCGUUGUUCGGAUUUACUGGGCGUAAAGGGCGCGUAGGCGGACUGAUAAGUCAGGGGUGAAAUCCCAGAGCUCAACUCUGGAACUACCUUUGAUACUGGGUAUCUUGAGUAUGGAAGAGGUGAGUGGAAUUCCGAGUGUAGAGGUGAAAUUCGUAGAUAUUCGCAAGAACACCAGUGGCGAAGGCAGCCCCCUGGGAUAACACUGACGCUCAUGCACGAAAGCGUGGGGAGCAAACAGGAUUAGAUACCCGCGUAGUCCCUGUCUCUUAUAC